rnacentral:sRNA from 1 species
AUCAUGGACGCUGACAGCCUCUGGGUGGACACUCAAGAUGAUGAUAGGAGCAUCAUGACAGAACAGUUAGAAACUAUUCCUAAAGAGGAGAAAGCUGAAAAGGAAGCUCGGAGAUCAUCUCUUGAGAAACAUAGAAAAGAAAAGCCUUUUAAAACCGGGAGAGGCAGAAUUUCCACUCCUGAAAGAAAAGUAGCUAAAAAGGAACCUAGCACAGUCUCCAGAGAUGAAGUGAGAAGGAAAAAAGCAGCAGGUGGGGAAUCAGCUCUGGCUCCCAGUGUAUUUAAACAGGCAAAGGACAAAGUCUCUGAUGGAGUAACCAAGAGCCCAGAAAAGCGCUCUUCUCUCCCAAGACCUUCCUCCAUUCUUCCUCCUCGGAGAGGUGUGUCAGGAGACAGAGAUGAGAAUUCCUUCUCUCUCAACAGUUCUAUCUCUUCUUCAGCACGGCGGACCACCAGGUCAGAGCCAAUUCGCAGAGCAGGGAAGAGUGGUACCUCAACACCCACUACCCCUGGGUCUACUGCCAUCACUCCUGGCACCCCACCAAGUUAUUCUUCACGCACACCAGGCACUCCUGGAACCCCUAGCUAUCCCAGGACCCCUCACACACCAGGAACCCCCAAGUCUGCCAUCUUGGUGCCGAGUGAGAAGAAGGUCGCCAUCAUACGUACUCCUCCAAAAUCUCCUGCGACUCCCAAGCAGCUUCGGCUUAUUAACCAACCACUGCCAGACCUGAAGAAUGUCAAAUCCAAAAUCGGAUCAACAGACAACAUCAAAUACCAGCCUAAAGGGGGGCAGGUUAGGAUUUUAAACAAGAAGAUCGAUUUUAGCAAAGUUCAGUCCAGAUGUGGUUCCAAGGAUAACAUCAAACAUUCGGCUGGGGGCGGAAAUGUACAAAUUGUUACCAAGAAAAUAGACCUAAGCCAUGUGACAUCCAAAUGUGGCUCUCUGAAGAACAUCCGCCACAGGCCAGGUGGUGGACGUGUGAAAAU